CACGUAGGGACCGAGCGUUGUCCGGAUUCAUUGGGCGUAAAGAGCUCGUAGGCGGCCUGUUGCGUCCGCUGUGAAAUCCCCAGGGCUCAACCCUGGGCGUGCAGUGGAUACGGGCAGGCUGGAGGCAGGCAGGGGGAGAACGGAAUUCCCGGUGUAGCGGUGAAAUGCGCAGAUAUCGGGAGGAACACCGGUGGCGAAGGCGGCGCCCUGGCUCGCAACUGACGCUCAGACACGACAGCAUGGGGAGCGAACGGG
rnacentral:rRNA from 1 species